rnacentral:rRNA from 1 species
AGGGUUCGAUUCUGGCUCAGGAUGAACGCUGGCGGCGUGCUUAACACAUGCAAGUCGAACGGGAUCCAUCAGGCUUUGCUUGGUGGUGAGAGUGGCGAACGGGUGAGUAAUGCGUGACCGACCUGCCCCAUACACCGGAAUAGCUCCUGGAAACGGGUGGUAAUGCCGGAUGCUCCAGUUGAUCGCAUGGUCUUCUGGGAAAGCUUUCGCGGUAUGGGAUGGGGUCGCGUCCUAUCAGCUUGACGGCGGGGUAACGGCCCACCGUGGCUUCGACGGGUAGCCGGCCUGAGAGGGCGACCGGCCACAUUGGGACUGAGAUACGGCCCAGACUCCUACGGGAGGCAGCAGUGGGGAAUAUUGCACAAUGGGCGAAAGCCUGAUGCAGCGACGCCGCGUGAGGGAUGGAGGCCUUCGGGUUGUAAACCUCUUUUAUCGGGGAGCAAGCGUGAGUGAGUUUACCCGUUGAAUAAGCACCGGCUAACUACGUGCCAGCAGCCGCGGUAAUACGUAGGGUGCAAGCGUUAUCCGGAAUUAUUGGGCGUAAAGGGCUCGUAGGCGGUUCGUCGCGUCCGGUGUGAAAGUCCAUCGCUUAACGGUGGAUCCGCGCCGGGUACGGGCGGGCUUGAGUGCGGUAGGGGAGACUGGAAUUCCCGGUGUAACGGUGGAAUGUGUAGAUAUCGGGAAGAACACCAAUGGCGAAGGCAGGUCUCUGGGCCGUUACUGACGCUGAGGAGCGAAAGCGUGGGGAGCGAACAGGAUUAGAUACCCUGGUAGUCCACGCCGUAAACGGUGGAUGCUGGAUGUGGGGCCCGUUCCACGGGUUCCGUGUCGGAGCUAACGCGUUAAGCAUCCCGCCUGGGGAGUACGGCCGCAAGGCUAAAACUCAAAGGAAUUGACGGGGGCCC